AACGAACGCUGGCGGCAGGCUUAACACAUGCAAGUCGAACGCCCGUAGCAAUACGGGAGUGGCGGACGGGUGAGUAACGCGUGGGAACGUGCCCUGAGGUACGGAAUAACUGCGGGAAACUGCAGCUAAUACCGUAUGAGCCCCGCAAGGGGGAAAGAUUUAUCGCCUUAGGAGCGGCCCGCGUCGGAUUAGCUAGGUGGUGGGGUAACGGCUUACCAAGGCUUCGAUCCGUAGCUGGUCUGAGCGGACGAUCAGCCACACUGGGACUGAGGCACGGCCCAGACUCCUACGGGAGGCAGCAGUGGGGAAUCUUGCGCAAUGGGGGCAACCCUGACGCAGCCAUGCCGCGUGAAUGAUGAAGGCCUUAGGGUUGUAAAGUUCUUUUGCCCGUGACGAUGAUGACGGUAACGGGAGAAUAAGCUCCGGCUAACUUCGUGCCAGCCGCCGCAGUAACAC
rnacentral:rRNA from 1 species